GCAUUAAUGGGGUAGUGGUAACCUGGGUCGUUGCCAUCUCAGGCACUGAAUUCUACAACUCGACCCGCCGGGGGUUCGAUUCCCUCUUAAUGCA